UGGGGAAUAUUGCACAAUGGGCGCAAGCCUGAUGCAGCCAUGCCGCGUGUAUGAAGAAGGCCUUCGGGCUGUAAAGUACUUUCAGCGGGGAGGAAGGCGAUAAGGUUAAUAACCUUGUCGAUUGACGUUACCCGCAGAAGAAGCACCGGCUAACUCCGUGCCAGCAGCCGCGGUAAUACGGAGGGUGCAAGCGUUACUCGGAAUUACUGGGCGUAAAGCGCACGCAGGCGGUCUGUCAAGUCGGAUGUGAAAUCCCCGGGCUCAACCUGGGAACUGCAUUCGAAACUGGCAGGCUAGAGUCUUGUAGAGGGGGGUAGAAUUCCAGGUGUAGCGGUGAAAUGCGUAGAGAUCUGGAGGAAUACCGGUGGCGAAGGCGGCCCCCUGGACAAAGACUGACGCUCAGGUGCGAAAGCGUGGGGAGCAAACA
rnacentral:rRNA from 1 species